GAGUUUGGGUCACUGAGUUCUACAUUAAAGUUGUCUAAAGAGCGGAACACCAGAUCUGUUAGAUACACAGGUGCAGAUUUUGUAGUUGUAGCUGAGGGCCCUUUUGUUGUAGCUGUUGGCGUUGUGGAUAUUGUGGCUGUGCUGACAGUGGUUCUUUCAGUAGAGAUUGAAGUGGGAAUCACAGAAGUUACUGCUGUAGAUGUUGUUUGUGGUGCUGUUGUGGAAGGUCCUGCAGUAGUAGUUCCAGCAGGAGAUGAUGUCACUGUUGAAGGAAGUGUUGUUGUAGAUGUUUCUGCUGCACUGGUGGUGGAUGUUUCAGCAGCAGUCGUUGUGAUUGUGGAAGUCUCUGUUGUUGUAGAUGUUUCUGCUGCGCUAGUGGUGGAUGGUUCCGGUGCAGUCAUUGUUAUUGUGGAAGAAUCUGUUGUUGAAAAUGUUUCUGCUGCACUGGUGGUGGAUGUUUCUGGUGCAGUCGUUGUGACUGUGGAAAUCUCUGUUGUUGAAGAUGUUUCAGCGGGACUUGUGGUGGAUGUUUCAGAGGCAGUUGUUGUGAUUGUGGAGGUCUGUGUUGUUGUAGAUGUUUCUGCUGAAUUGGUGGUAGAUGUUUCCGGGGCAGUUGUUGUGACUGUGGAAGUCUCUGUUGUUGUAGAUGUUUCGGUUGCAUUAGUGGUGGAUGUUUCAGUAGGAGUCGUUGUGAUUGUGGAAGUCUCAGUUGAUGUAGAUGUUUCUGCUGCACUAGUAGUGGAUGCUUCAGGAGCAGUUGUUGUGAUUGUGGAUGUCUCUCUUGUUGUAGAUGUUUCUGCUGCACUAGUGGUGGAUGUUUCCGGUGCAGUUGUUGUGAUUGUGGAAGUCUCAGUUGUUGAAGAUGUUUCUGCUGAACUUGUGGUGGAUGUUUCAGGAGUAGUCGUGACUGUGGAUGUCUCUGUCGUUGUAGAUGUUUCUGCUGAAUUGGUGAAAGAUGUUUCCGGGGCAGUUGUUGUGACUGUGGAUGUCUCUGUUGUUGUAGACGUUUUUGCUGCAUGAGUAGUGGAUAUUUCCGGUUCAGUCGUUGUGAUUGUGGAAGUCUCUGUUGUUGUAGAUGUUUCUGUUGGACUAGUGGUGGAUGUUUCAGUAGGAGUCGUUGUAAUUGUGGAAAUCUCAGUUGAUGUAGAUGUUUCUGCUGCACUAGUGGUGGAUGUUUCAGGAGCCGUUGUUGUGAUUGUGGAUGUCUCUGUUGUUGUAGAUGUUUCUGCUGCACUAGUGGUGGUUGUUUCCGGUGCAGUUGUUGUGAUUGUGGAAGUCUCAGUGGUUGUAGAUGUUUCUGGUGCAGUUGUUGUAAUUGUGGAGGUCUCCGCUGAUGUAGAUGUUUCUGCUGCACUGGUGGUGGAUGUUUUAGGAGCAGUUGUUGUGAUUGUGGAUGUCUCAGUUGAUGUUUCUGCUGCACUAGGGGUGGAUGUUUCUACUGCACUAGUGGUGGAUGUUUCAGGAGCAGUCGUUGUGAUUGUGGAAGUCUCCGUUGUUGUAGAUGUUUCUACUGCACUAGUGGUGGAUGGUUCAGGAGCAGUCGUUGUGAUUGUGGAGGUCUCUGUCGUAGUAGAUGUUUCUGCUGCACUGGUGGUGGAUGUUUCCGGUUCAGUCGUUGUGAUUGUGGAUGUCUCAGUGGUUGUAGAUGUUUCUGCCGCAUUAGUGGUAGAUGUUUCCGGUGGAGUCGUUGUGAUUGUGGAGGUCUCUGUUGUUAUAGAUGUUACUGCUGCACUAGUAGUGGAUGUUUCUGGUGCAGUCAUUGUGACUGUGGAAGUCUCUGUUGUUGUAGAUGUUUCUGGUGCACUAGAGGUGGAUGUUUCAGGAGCAGUUGAUGUGAUUGUGGAGGUCUCUGUUGUGGUAGAUGUUUCUGGUGCAGUCAUUGUGACUGUGGAAGUCUCUGUUGUUGUAGAUGUUUCUACUGCAGUAGUGGUUGAUUUUUCAGGAGCUGUCAUUGUGAUUGUGAAAGUCUCUGUUGUUGUUGAUGUUUC
ensembl:lncRNA